rnacentral:tmRNA from 1 species
UCCGUGCCUGUCCGGCAGCCCGCAUCGAAAACCAAUGAUUAGGCUACGCAUGUAGAGCGAAGGGCGGAGAAUCGUCGGACGCGGGUUCAAUUCCCGCCACCUCCACCA